rnacentral:snoRNA from 1 species
CACCUCUCAGGGUUGCACCUGGAGAGUUUCCAGUAUUCUACCAGUCUCGAUUCUGGGAGGGAGAAUCAAGCAGAGGCAUAUCCAUUCCAUUCCUAGCUUGGGCAGUGGCUAGCAAGUGAAGGCAAUCUGCUACAAGU